AGCGAACGCUGGCGGCAGGCCUAACACAUGCAAGUCGAACGAACCCUUCGGGGUUAGUGGCGGACGGGUGAGUAACACGUGGGAACGUGCCUUUAGGUUCGGAAUAACUCAGGGAAACUUGUGCUAAUACCGAAUGUGCCCUUCGGGGGAAAGAUUUAUCGCCUUUAGAGCGGCCCGCGUCUGAUUAGCUAGUUGGUGAGGUAAUGGCUCACCGAGGCUACGAUCAGUAGCUGGUCUGAGGGGAUGACCAGCCACAUUGGGACUGAGACACGGCCCAAACUCCUACGGGAGGCAGCAGUGGGGAAUCUUGCGCAAUGGGCGAAAGCCUGACGCAGCCAUGCCGCGUGGAUGAUGAAGGUCUUAGGAUUGUAAAAUCCUUUCACCGGUGAAGAUAAUGACUGUAGCCGGAGAAGGAGCCCCGGCUAACUUCGUGCCAGCCGCCGCAGUAACAC
rnacentral:rRNA from 1 species